rnacentral:rRNA from 1 species
AGAACGAACGCUGGCGGCAGGCUUAACACGUGCAAGUCGAGCGCCCCGCAAGGGGAGCGGCAGACGGGUGAGUAACGCGUGGGAACAUACCCUCCGGUUCGGAAUAGCUCAGGGAAACUUGGAUUAAUACCGGAUACGGCCUAGCGGCGAAAGAUUCAUCGCCGGAGGAUUGGCCCGCGUUCGAUUAGCUAGUUGGUGAGGUAACGGCUCACCAAGGCGACGAUCGAUAGCUGGUCUGAGAGGAUGAUCAGCAUCACUGGGACUGAGACACGGCCCAGACUCCUACGGGAGGCAGCAGUGGGGAAUAUUGGACAAUGGGCGCAAGCCUGAUCCAGCCAUGCCGCGUGGAUGAUGAAGGCCUUAGGUUGUAAAGUCCUUUUAACGGGGAGAUAAUGACGGUACCGUAGAAUAAGCCCGGCUAACUUCGUGCCAGCAGCCGC